rnacentral:rRNA from 1 species
CAGUAGCCGCGGUAAUACGUAGGUGGCGAGCGUUGUCCGGAAUUAUUGGGCGUAAAGGGAGCGCAGGCGGACAUAUAAGUCCAUCUUAAAAGUGCGGGGCUCAACCCCGUGAGGGGAUGGAAACUGUAUGCCUUGAGUGCAGGAGAGGAAAGCGGAAUUCCCAGUGUAGCGGUGAAAUGCGUAGAUAUUGGGAGGAACACCAGUGGCGAAGGCGGCUUUCUGGACUGCAACUGACGCUGAGGCUCGAAAGCCAGGGGAGCGAACGGGAUUAGAUACCCCCGUAGUCCCUGUCUCUUAUACC